CCCGCCGGAAGUUUUGGAGCGCUGGACGAGCUGAGGUCCGCGACUCGUCGCUAAGAUUCCCCAAAACUGAGAUUUCAAGAAAAUUCACCCUUUCUGCUUUUUUGGCGUCCUUCAACUGUGAAGGAAAUGAAGGUUGAGAACCUGGAACCCGCUUCCAAAGACCAAGCCCUUUCUCUGUGCCUCACAACAGUCUUGCGCUGUAGCUGUUUUUAUUACUCCCAUUUUACUACUGGGAAGGAAAUUUGAGGCCCUGAAAGUUAAGUGACUUGCUGGACGUCACUUAGCGGAGGAGAUGGAGAAACCUGGAUUAGAGGCGAUGCCUUCUAACUCCCAGCGUGGACUGGCCUCCUUUCCUGGGGGUGACUGAAUGAUUCACUAUUCCAGGGCACUACUGCUGCUCAGCCAGGGACGUGACAUCUCUGGCCGGCAGAAAUACGGCCUCCUCCCCGCCGACCGGGCAAAGGGGUACCUUGCGGGCAAGGAGACAUUCGCAGACUGGCCAGGCGUGGGAGUGGGGGCUGGAGCCGCCCCAGGCGGCGCUGUGAUUGGCCGGCCGCUCCAGCGAGCGUCGCGAUUGGCCCCCUGGCAGCCGUUGAGAUUUGAAUUCGGUAUUUGUGGCUUUGCCCGCGCGUUGCCAGACUCAGAGGCGGCCAUUUGCCUCUGUCUGCCGGGGAUUGGCCGGAUUCUCCGCCAACUUGAAAACUGCCUCGCUAAUUGGUGCGUGUUGUGCACGAGUGUUUUUUCCUUUUCAUUUUAGCCUGACUGCCGGAGUCAGAGCCGCGGGUGAGAUCCCCAGCCCUGUGAGCCUGUAGGAGAAGAAUGGCUCCCCAAAUGUAUGAGUUCCAUCUGCCAUUAUCGCCAGAGGAGUUGUUGAAAAGUGGAGGGGUGAAUCAGUAUGUUGUGCAAGAGGUACUGUCCAUCAAACAUCUUCCACCGCAGCUUAGAGCAUUUCAAGCUGCCUUUCGAGCUCAGGGGCCGCUGGCUAUGCUGGAGCACUUUGACACUAUCUACAGCAUUUUGCAUCACUUUCGAAGUAUAGAUCCUGGCCUCAAAGAAGAUACUCUGGAAUUCCUGAUAAAAGUGGUGUCCCGCCACUCCCAGGAGCUUCCAGCUAUCCUGGAUGAUACAACUUUGAGUGGAUCAGAUAGAAACGCCCAUCUAAAUGCCCUCAAAAUGAACUGUUAUGCUCUGAUACGUCUCCUGGAAUCCUUUGAGACCAGUCAGACAAACCUCGUGGACCUGGACCUUGGUGGGAAGGGUAAGAAAGCUCGGACCAAGGCAGCCCAUGGCUUUGACUGGGAAGAAGAGCGGCAACCAGUUCUUCAGCUUUUAACACAGCUACUUCAGUUGGACAUCCGUCACCUGUGGAAACACUCAAUGAUUGAAGAAGAAUUUGUCAGUUUGGUUACUGGCUGUUGCUACCGCCUUCUGGAGAAUCCCACCAUUAGUCACCAGAAGAACCGCCCCACUCGGGACGCCAUAACACACCUGCUUGGUGUAGCCUUGACGCGUUAUAACCAUAUGCUCAGUGCUACAGUGAAGAUCAUCCAGAUGCUGCAGCACUUUGAACACCUGGCACCUGUACUGGUUGCAGCUGUGAGUCUGUGGGCAACUGACUAUGGAAUGAAGAGCAUAGUAGGCGAGAUUGUAAGAGAGAUUGGACAAAAGUGUCCCCAAGAGCUGAGUCGAGACCCUUCAGGGACAAAGGGCUUUGCAGCAUUCCUGACAGAACUAGCAGAACGUGUCCCAGCUAUCCUGAUGUCCAGCAUGUGCAUUUUGCUAGAUCACCUGGAUGGAGAGAAUUACAUGAUGCGUAAUGCUGUGCUCGCAGCCAUGGCAGAGAUGGUGCUGCAGGUUCUCAAUGGCGAUCAACUGGAAGCAGCAGCCCGAGACACCAGAGACCAAUUCCUGGAUACUUUACAAGCCCAUGGCCAUGAUGUCAACUCCUUUGUGCGGAGCCGUGUUUUGCAGCUCUUCACCCGAAUUGUCCAGCAGAAGGCUCUCCCCUUGACACGUUUCCAGGCAGUGGUGGCUUUAGCUGUGGGACGUCUGGCAGACAAGUCAGUGCUAGUAUGUAAAAAUGCCAUCCAGCUGCUGGCCAGUUUUCUAGCCAAUAAUCCUUUUUCCUGCAAGCUUAGUGAUACUGACCUUGCUGGACCACUGCAGAAGGAGACCCAGAAAUUACAAGAGAUGAGGGCCCAGAGGCGAACUGCAGCAGCUUCUGCAGUGCUGGACCCAGAGGAGGAGUGGGAAGCCAUGCUGCCAGAGUUGAGGUCUACCCUGCAGCAGCUUCUACGGCUUCCCCAGGGAGAGGAGGAGAUUCCUGAGCAAAUUGCCAAUACAGAGACGACUGAAGAGGUGAAAGGACGCAUCCAUCAACUGCUUGCCAAAGCUAGUUACAAGCAGGCCAUCAGUCUCACUCGAGAAGCCACAGGCCACUUCCAGGAGUCCGAACCCUUCAGUCAUAUAGACCCAGAGGAGUCAGAGGAGACCAGGCUCUUGAAUAUCUUAGGACUUAUCUUCAAAGGCCCAGCAGCUUCCACACAAGAAAAGAAUCCCCAGGAGUCUGUAGGAAACAUGGUCACAGGACAGACUGUCUGUAAAAAUAAGCCCAGUGUGUUGGAGCCUGAGGAGUCCAGGGGAAGUGAUGAACUGGUGAAGCAGGAGAUGCUGGUGCAGUAUCUGCAGGAUGCCUACAGCUUCUCCCGGAAGAUUACAGCGGCCAUUGGCAUUACCAGCAAGAUGAUGUAUGAAAACACAACUACAGUGGUGCAGGAGGUGAUUGAAUUCUUUGUGAUGGUCUUCCAAUUUGGGGUACCCCAGGCCCUGUUUGGGGUGCGCCGUAUGCUGCCUCUCAUCUGGUCUAAGGAGCCUGGUGUCCGGGAAGCUGUGCUUAAUGCCUUCCGCCAACUCUACCUCAACCCCAAAGGGGACUCUGCCAGAGCCAAGGCCCAGACUUUGAUUCAGAAUCUCUCUCUGCUGCUAGUGGAUGCCUCGGUUGGGACCAUUCAGUGUCUUGAGGAAAUUCUCUGUGAGUUUGUGCGGAACGAUGAGUUGAAACCAGCAGUGACCCAGCUGCUGUGGGAGCGGGCCACCGAGAAGGUCGCCUGCUGUCCCCUGGAGCGCUGUUCCUCUGUCAUGCUUCUUGGCAUGAUGGCACGAGGAAAGCCAGAAAUUGUGGGAAGCAAUUUAGACACACUGGUGAGCAUAGGGCUGGAUGAGAAGCUUCCACAGGACUACAGGCUGGCCCAGCAGGUGUGCCAUGCCAUUGCCAACAUCUCUGACAGGAGGAAGCCUUCUCUGGGCAAACGUCACCCCCCCUUCCGGCUGCCUCAGGAACACAGAUUGUUUGAGCGACUGCGGGAGACGGUCACAAAAGGCUUUGUCCACCCAGACCCACUGUGGAUCCCAUUCAAAGAGGUGGCGGUGACCCUCAUUUACCAACUGGCAGAGGGCCCCGAAGUGAUCUGUGCCCAGAUAUUGCAGGGCUGUGCGAAACAGGCCCUGGAGAAGCUAGAAGAGAAGAGAACCAGUCAGCAGGACCCGAAGGAGUCCCCCGCAAUGCUCCCCACUUUCCUGUUGAUGAACCUGCUGUCCCUGGCUGGGGAUGUGGCUCUGCAGCAGCUGGUCCACUUGGAGCAGGCAGUGAGUGGAGAGCUCUGUCGGCGCCGAGUUCUCCGGGAAGAGCAGGAGCACAAGACCAAAGAUCCCAAGGAGAAGAAUACCAGCUCUGAGACCACCAUGGAGGAGGAGCUGGGGCUGGCUGGGGCAACAGCAGAUGACACAGAAGCAGAACUCAUCCGCGGCAUCUGCGAGAUGGAACUGUUGGAUGGCAAACAGACACUGGCUGCCUUUGUUCCACUCUUGCUUAAAGUCUGCAACAACCCAGGCCUCUAUAGCAACCCAGACCUCUCUGCAGCUGCUUCACUUGCCCUUGGCAAGUUCUGCAUGAUCAGUGCCACUUUCUGUGACUCCCAGCUUCGUCUUCUGUUCACCAUGCUGGAAAAGUCUCCACUUCCCAUUGUCCGGUCUAACCUCAUGGUUGCCACUGGGGAUCUGGCCAUCCGCUUUCCCAAUCUGGUGGACCCCUGGACUCCUCAUCUGUAUGCUCGCCUCCGGGACCCUGCUCACCAAGUGCGGAAAACAGCGGGGCUGGUGAUGACCCACCUGAUCCUCAAGGACAUGGUGAAGGUGAAGGGGCAGGUGAGCGAGAUGGCAGUGCUACUCAUCGACCCCGAGCCUCAGAUUGCUGCCCUGGCCAAGAACUUCUUCAACGAGCUCUCCCACAAGGGCAACGCAAUCUAUAAUCUCCUUCCAGAUAUCAUCAGCCGCCUGUCAGACCCCGAGCUGGGGGUGGAGGAAGAGCCUUUCCACACCAUCAUGAAACAGCUCCUCUCCUACAUCACCAAGGACAAGCAGACAGAGAGCCUGGUGGAAAAGCUGUGUCAGCGGUUCCGCACAGCCCGGUAUCUGCCCUCCCUGAGGGUUCUUUGUACUGAGCAGGGCCCUGCAGGGGAGAAAGAACUGAGCGGCAGCAGCGAGACCUGGCCUACUGUGUGUCACAGCUGCCCCUCACAGAGCGAGGCCUCCGCAAGAUGCUCGACAAUUUUGACUGUUUUGGAGACAAACUGUCAGAUGAGUCCAUCUUCAGUGCUUUUCUGUCAGUUGUGGGCAAGCUGCGACGUUGGGCCAAGCCUGAGAGCAAGGCUGUAAUAGAUGAAUUUGAGCAGAAGCUUCGGGCCUGUCAUACCAGAGGUUUGGAUGGAAUCGACGAGCUUGAGAUUGGCCAAGCAGGUAGCCAGAGAGCCCCAUCAGCCAAGAAACCAUCCACUGUUUCUAGGCACCAACCUCUGGCUUCUACAGCCUCAGACAAUGACUUUGUCACACCAGAGCCCCGCCGUACUACCCGUCGGCAUCCAAACACCCAGCAGCGAGCUUCCAAAAAGAAACCCAAAGUUGUCUUCUCAAGCGAUGAGUCCAGUGAGGAAGAUCUUUCAGCAGAGAUGACAGAAGACGAGACACCCAAGAAAACAACCCCCAUUCUCAGAGCAUCGGCCCGCAGGCGCAGACCCUAGGAAGCGCGCUCCCGUCUUCCCUGUGCAGGGGUCCUGUAGGGUCACCUGGAAUUCGAAUUGUUUCCCUUGUAAAAUAUUUGUCUUUUAGAAACAAAAAAAACAAAAAAAACUGGCCGGGUGCAGUGACUCACACCUGUAAUCCCAGCACUUUGGGACACUGAGGCAGGUGAAUCACUUGAGGUCGGGAGUUCGAGCCUGACCAACGUGGAGAAACCCUGUCUCUACUAAAAAUAAGAAAUUAGCCAGGCGUGAUAGCGGGCACCUGUAAUCCCAGCUACCCGGGAGGGUGAGGCAGGAGAAUCGCUUGAACCCGGGAGGCAGAGGUUGCGGUGAACCGAGAUCACCCUACUGCACUCCAGCCUGGGCAACAAGAGUGAAACUCUGUUAAAAAAAAAAAAAAAAAUACACAUGAUCUUUAAAAUGUAAGGCCUUUCUCUUAAAUUAGCCUAAUUGAACUGCAUUGAGCCGCUUUCACUUUGGAAUAUGUUUGCCAAUCUCCUUGUUUUCUAAUGAAUAAAUAUUUUUAUAUACUUUUAGA